GCAUUUAAAACACCGUUCUCAAUUAUAUCCGUGACCACCAUAUUUUGAAGUAAAGAAUAAGUUGAACUAACCGAAAACGUUCCCAUAGAAUUUGAUAUCCAUUAUGUACUCAAAAAAACUUAUAUCCAUUUUCUUCUAUCAAUUCAUCCCCGUUCAGGUCGCACAUGCAUCCGCAAGAAGCUGAUUUAGCGCUGCCGCAUUAGCUGACAGUUGUGUUGUUGUCCAAUUUAAACUCCAUGUCCAGC
rnacentral:lncRNA from 1 species